rnacentral:rRNA from 1 species
AUGUGUAUUGUUGUUGGACAUUCAAAAAAUGGCACUUUCAAAUACCUAUGCGAUAGGGUCGGUGAGAAAGUCCGUGGUUGGGUUGAAAAACUUCUUUCAGCAACAGGCAUGGAAGUCUUGAUCAAAUCAGUAGCACGAGCAAUUCCAGUGUAGUCCAUAUCUUGUUUCAGGCUACCUAGAGGUUUAUGUGAGUAUGUCACCUCGAUGAUCCGUCAAUUGUGGUGGGGAAGCAAAAGAGGAAGAAGGAGACCUAGAUGGGUGGCAUGGGAUGUUGUGACCAGGCCAAAGUAUAUGGGCGGUAUGGGCUUUCAGGAUUUGGAAAUAUUCAACUUGGCACUUUUGUCUAGGGAGGCAUGGAGAAUUUUGAAUCAUGAAGGCUCUUUAAGUGCAAGAAUUGUGAAAUAUGUCUAUUUUCCAAACAUUUCUUUGGGCUACACUAGAAUUGCCCGUACACUGGAAUUGCCCGUGCUACUGAUUUGA